rnacentral:rRNA from 1 species
UUUCAUUCGGGCGGGUCAGGUCGUGUCGUGUGUGGGUGCAUGUGCAAACACAUUUGGGCAAGUCGGUUCGUCUCAACCAGGGUGGGUUAGGUCAUGUCGUGCCAUGUGUGGGUGCUUAGGCACACGUGGUCGUGCCAAAAAUGCUAAUUUGUGUCCACCCGUGUUUCUUCUUCACAUUCGUGGGGCCCAUUUGCACAACUCUUUCUCGUUCCUUUGUUGGGGUCAUGCACCAAUGGAAACCAAAAAUUUCAUGGCCAGUCGGGUCAUGUUGUGCCAUGUGUGGGUGCCUAAGUACAUGUGUCCAUGCUAGAAAUGCUAAGUUUUGAUUGCCCAUGUGUCUUCUGCAUGUUCAUGCGGCCCAUUUGCCCAACGCUCUAUCGUUCCUUUGUUUGGGUUGUGCACCCAUGGAAACCCCAAAUUUCAUUCAGGUGGGUUGGGUCUUGCCAUGUGUGGGUGCUCGUGCAAACACGUUUCGGAAAGUUGGGUCAGGUCAGGUCGGGUCGUGUUGUGUGAGGGUGCCCAGUGUAGGUCGGGUCAGGUUGUGUCAAGUGAGGGUGCCUAGGUCAGGUCAGGUCAAGUCGUGUGAGGGCACCUAGGGAGGGUCGAGUCAGGUUAGGUUGCCAAGGUGGGGUCAAGAUGCUAAGGCUAGGUCAGGUUGUGUCAUUUGAGGGCAAAGGAAAUGAUUACAGGUAUCGUGGGCAUAACACCCUUGACGUAGUUCUCAAAAUUUAAAUAGGUAAGAGGAUGUGGCUACCUCAUUGAGCCAUGCCAUGGAAUCGAGAGGUCCAAGUGGGCCAUUUUGGGUAAGCAGAACGGGUGAUGCAGGAUGAACCAAACGUUGAGUUACGACAUCAAAUUAUGCACUAACCUAUAUCGCAUAAAGCGUGUUGGUUGAUUAAGAAAGCAACAUGGUGGUCAUGGAAGUCAGAAUCCGCUGAGUGUGUAACAACUCACCUGUUGAAUCAACUAGCCCUGAAAAUGGAUGGUGCUGAAGUGCGCAACCUAUAAUCGACCGUCAGAGCAAUUUCCUGGCUUUGAUGAGUAGGAGGAUAGCGGGGUCAUUGAGUGAUCUCUGGCAUGUGCUUGGGUGGAUCGACCGCAGGUGCAGAUCUUGGUGGCAGUAGCAAGUUUCCAAAUGAGAACUUGAAAGACUGAACUGGGGAAAGGUUCCAUGUGAACAUCACUUGGACAUGGGUUAGUCAAUCCUAAGAGAUGGGGAAGCCUUUUAUGAAGGGUGCACUUUGCACAAGAAAAGAAAGGGAAUUGGUUUAAUAUUCCCAAACCGAGACAUGUUGGCAGGCAAAAAUAUUAGGAAAUCUAGAGAUGUCGUCGGGGGCCCCGGGAAGAGAUAUCUUUUCUUUUAAACAACUUUCUCACCCUGCAAUCGGUUCACCCAGAGAUAGGGUCCAACAGCUGGAAGAGCACACACAUGUCUUACAGUGUCCAUUGUGCCCUCAACAGUCCUUGAAAAUCUAGAGGAGUGAGUACCAUUCAUGCCCAGUCGUACUGAUAACCGCAUCAGGUCUCCAAGGUGAAUAGCCUCUAUUCAAUAGAAAAAUGUAGGUAAGGGAAGUCAACAUAAUGGAUCCGUAACUUCGAGAAAAGGAUUGGCUCUAAGGGCUAGGCCUAGUGGUCUACACCCUCAACUCAUGGGCUAUUGGUAGUCUGCCCGAGCUGCUCUCGCGGUGAGGGUGGGCAGUUGUGUGCUGAUUGGGUUACGGGCAUAUAAUGGACCCUACCAUGGGAUUUUCCCUAGGCAGCAAACAGUCGACUCAGAAAUGGUACAGACAAGGGGAAUCCAACUAUUUAAUCAAAACAAAGCAUUGCGAUGGUUCCUACGCAUGAUGACACAAUGUGAUUUUUGCCCAGUGCUUUGAACGUCAAAGUGAAGAAAUUCAACCAAACUCAGGUAAACGACAGGAGUAACUCUGAAUCUCUUAAGGUGGACAAAUGCCUCUUCAUCUAAUUAGAUACGUGCAUGAAUAGAUUAAUGAUAUUAGCACUGUCCCUAUCUACUACCUAGCGAAACCACAACGAAGGGAACGAAAUUGGCAGAAUCAACAAGGAAGGAAGACCUUGUUGAGCUUGACUCUAGUACGACUUUGUGAAAAGACUUGAGAGGUGUAGAAUAAGUGGGAGCAAUUUUUUGCACAAGUGAAAUACCACUACUAUUAACAUUAUUUUACUUACUCCCUUCCCUAGGGCGGAGACAAGGCACCUCCCUAUUUUUGGCCUUAAGGCACGUUUCGGCGGGUUGAUCUAGGCAGAAGACAUUGUUAGGUGGGGAGUUGUGCUAGGGAAACACAUCUAUUAAAAUAUGACACAAGUGUCAUAAGAUGAGCUCAACGAGAACAUAAAUCUCAUGUGUAAGAAAAGGGUAAAAGCUCAUUUGAUUUUCAUUUUCAGUAUGAAUACAAACCAUGAAAGCAUGGCCUAUCGACCCAUUUGAUUUUCAUAAUUUGAAGCUAGAGGUGUUAGAAAAGUUACCACAGGGAUAACAGGCUUGUGGCAACCAAGCAUUCAUAUCGACAUUGGUUUUUGAUCGUUUGAUGUCCGCUCUUCCAAUCAUUGUGAAGCAGGAUUCACCAAGUGUUGUAUUGUUCACCCACCAAUAGGGAAGAUGAGAUGGGUUUAAAUCAUUUUUUUUUCACGUGAUCACUCAUAUGCGGUAUUUAUCCACCCAUGGGUGAAUGAAUACCAUGGGUUGAUGUCACAAUACCAUGGGAAAAUACCAUGGGUGAAGGAAUAUGUUAAUUUUAGGUAUGUUCUAUGUGAGAGCAAUUUAUUUAAAUUUUCACAGUUAGCAAUCACAUCAGCAUUAAAGUAAACCGCAGAUAGAACAUAAAUAUAAAUCGACAAGCCAAGACAAGAGGACACAAGGUGUGGCACAAGCCAGGGACAAACCCUAAUGUGCAGAAACCCUUGAUAAAUUCUUCUUUUAUGUUCUUCAAAGUUUAGCAGAGAAAGUGAGAGAGAUAGUACUUUUACAAUAGAAGUCAACACU